rnacentral:rRNA from 1 species
GAUGAACGUUGGCGGCAUGGAUUAGGCAUGCAAGUCGAGCGAGAAGGAAAUCAAAGUUUACUUUGAUUUCCGGAAAGCGGCGAAAGGGAGAGUAACGCGUAGUUAUCUACCCCAAGGCCCGGAAUAGCUGCGGGAAACUGCAGGUAAUGCCUGAUAAUAUCCACGGAUCAAAGGUGUGAUUCCGCCUUGGGAGGAGACUGCGUUGUACUAGCUUGUUGGUAGGGUAAUGGCCGACCAAGGCUACGAUGCAUAGCGGGCGUGAGAGCGUGGCCCGUCUCACUGGGACUGAAACACUGCCCAGACACCUACGGGUGGCUGCAGUCGAGAAUCUUCGGCAAUGGGCGAAAGCCUGACCGAGCGAUGCCGCGUGCGGGAUGAAGGCCCUCGGGUUGUAAACCGCUGUCGUAGGGGAGAAAGGACCGUUGAAGAGACGGUUUUGAUCUAUCCUAGGAGGAAGUCCGGGCUAAGUUCG